rnacentral:piRNA from 1 species
UAAGAUUGUUAGAGAAAUUGG